rnacentral:rRNA from 1 species
UACCUACGGGACGCAGCAGUGGGGAAUUUUGGACAAUGGGCGCAAGCCUGAUCCAGCUAUUCCGCGUGUGGGAUGAAGGCCCUCGGGUUGUAAACCACUUUUGUAGAGAACGAAAAGACACCUUCGAAUAAAGGGUGUUGCUGACGGUACUCUAAGAAUAAGCACCGGCUAACUACGUGCCAGCAGCCGCGGUAAUACGUAGGGUGCGAGCGUUAAUCGGAAUUACUGGGCGUAAAGGGUGCGCAGGCGGUUGAGUAAGACAGAUGUGAAAACCACGGGCUCAACCUGUGGCCUGCAUUUGGAAA